UGAGCAACCUGCCCUUGACUCUGGAAUAACAGUUGGAAACAGCUGCUAAUACUGGAUAUUCAUCAUGUCCCUCCUGGGGUGUGGUGGAAAGCUCCGGCGGUCAGGGAUGGGCUCGCGGCCUAUCAGCUUGUUGGUGAGGUAAUGGCUCACCAAGGCUUCGACGGGUAGCCGGCCUGAGAGGGCGACCGGCCACACUGGGACUGAGAUACGGCCCAGACCUCUACGGGA
rnacentral:rRNA from 1 species